rnacentral:rRNA from 1 species
CCUACGGGUGGCAGCAGUGGGGAAUUUUGGACAAUGGGCGCAAGCCUGAUCCAGCUAUUCCGCGUGUGGGAAGACGGCCUUCGGGUUGUAAACCACUUUUGUAGAGAACGAAAAGUCUAUUGAUAAUACCGAUAGACGAUGACGGUACACUAAGAAUAAGCACCGGCUAACUACGGGCCAGCAGCCGCGGUAAUACGUAGGGGGCGCGCGUUAAUCGGAAUUACGGGGAGUAAAGGGUGUGCAGGUGGUUUUGCAAUUUGGAUGUUAAAGCCCCGGGCUUAACCUGGGAAAGCCAUACAUGACUGCAAGACUAGAGUGCGUCAGAGGUGGGUGGAAUUCCAAGUGUAGCAGUGAAAUGCGUAGAUAUUUGGAAGAACACCGAUGGCGAAGGCAGCCCCCUGGGACUCAACUGACGCUCAUACACGAAAGCGUGGGGAGCAAACAGGAUUAGAUACCCCUGUAGUC